CGUGAGAGCAUUGAGAGGACUUUUCCCUAGUACGAGAGGACCAGGAAAGAUGCACCUUUGGUGUGCCAGUUAUCGUGCCCACAGUAAACACUAGUAGCCAAGUGCAGAGUGGGUAAUUGCUGAAAGCAUCUUAGUAAACCCACCCCAAGAUGAGUGCUUUCCUAUACUGACUUCCCCAUUGGAGAUGGAGCGAAAAAAGUUAUGAAUUCAAGAGAAGAUCACAGUGAGAUGAGCCAUUUCUAAUUAAUGAUAGGUGUCAAGUGGAAGUGCAUUGAUAUACAUAGUUAAGGCAUCCUAACAAACCGG
rfam:Glycine soja cultivar W05 scaffold2932_1, whole genome shotgun sequence.